rnacentral:misc_RNA from 1 species
AAUGCGAUAAUUAAUGUGAAUUGCAGAAUUCAGUGAAUCAUCGAGUCUUUGGACGCACAUUGCGCCCCCUGGUAUUCCGGGGGGCAUGCCUGUCCGAGCGUCAUUGCUGCCCUCAAGCACGGCUUGUGUGUUGGGCUUCCGUCCCUGGCAACGGGGACGGGCCCAAAAGGCAGUGGCGGCACCAUGUCUGGUCCUCGAGCGUAUGGGGCUUUGUCACCCGCUCCCGUAGGUCCAGCUGGCAGCUAGCCUCGCAACCAAUCUUUUUAACCAGGUUGACCUCGGAUCAGGUAGGGAUACCCGCUGAACUUAAGC